UACGUAGGCAGCAAGCGUUGUUCGGAAUUACUGGGCGUAAAGAGUGUGUAGGCGGUGCUCUAAGUUCGGUGUGAAAUCUCCUGGCUCAACUGGGAGGGUGCGCCGGAAACUGGAGUGCUUGAGCGUGGGAGAGGAAAGCGGAAUUCCUGGUGUAGCGGUGAAAUGCGUAGAUAUCAGGAGGAACACCGGUGGCGAAGGCGGUUCUCUGGGCCUGUACUGACGCUGAGGAGCGAAAGCGUGGGAGCGAACAGG
rnacentral:rRNA from 1 species